GACAUCGUCAAGAAAUUCGUUAUUCGUCAGUCGUCCAGAUCAAGUUGCCGUCAAGAGACUGUUAUUUGUCAGUAGUCGUCUACACAAGUCAAGUCAUCGCCAGAAGAACCGUUAACCUAUUCGUCAGUAACUGUGUACACAAAGUCGUCGGAACUACACAUACGGUCAUCAACAGUCGUCAAAGAAACUGGAACAUUUUGCUGUGGCAUAUCAGGACAUCUGUGGCAUUACGUGGGAUACUGGUAGCACCGGAGAACAGAGUCAGAACUGGAAGAGAGGCAGUGGAAUUUGUUGUGAUCUAGCAUAUUCGGGAGUCCGAACAAAGGGAUCUUUCUUAUCAAAAGCUAAGUGCCAUUUUUCUUAUUAGUAUAUGUUUAGAUUGCCCUUAGAAAUAGAUUUUGUCUAAAUUUGGUACGUUAGCCUGAGUAAAAUCAGGUGGUGCGCCUUAAAACCCGUCGGGGUAGAAGACGUAAUUUAGAUGAAAAGCUAUAUUAUACGUUUAGAGUUGUAAUUUGUUUUGUUUGUGUAAACGUCAUAUCCGUUGUUGCCUGGUUACUUCGUGACGUCAUCAUUGUGUGCCAUAUUGUCAUAUCCCAACCCAUAGCGAUAGUCUCAUUUAAUUAUUUCAUUUGUUUAUAUUAUUUUAAAUUAUUUAUUUUUAUUAAUUUAAUUAGAUCUGUAUUUUUUUUUCACUUAAUGAUAGAAAGUGCGGGUAGGAUUCUUUCAUUGUGAAUCAGACUAAAAUAAUUUUAGUUUGAGCGGUUAAAAUCAAAUAUGAUUUUGCCAUGAGAAUAAUGCCGAAACUGGCUAUGUAGUCAAACACUGUCGUCUGGCUAAAUAUAGAUCUACAAAUUUUGUACAUCUCUUUGGUACAAUUUAAUUAUCUAGACUCUAAUUUGAAAUAUUAUUAAUUGAAAAAUGAAUGAAGAUUACUGCCAGUGAAGAACAUUUGUGACGUGUGACGUGCCCAUAAGAUGCCACAUUUUCUUUUAUGAUGAACUGUGUACUAGUGAAGAUGAUUUUGGAAUGUUAUGAACUGUUAUGAACAUUGACAUGAAUAUGAGAAACUGUCAAGAUGAAGAUGUCAAGAUGAAGAGAUCAAGAUUUUAUGUUUGUGGUCUUCCCCUUAAAUUGAAAAUGCCCUUGUAAGACUUGACAGUAGUGGAAAAAUAUUGACAUAUUUUUUUUUCAAGGGGGGGAGGAAUCUGUUAGACACCUUAUUUAUAUAGGUUAGUUAUUUUAGUUAUUUAGCGACGCACCAUAGUAGACGCAUAUUGAACGGGACUAGUGACGUUUGGGAUAUGUUGGGUUAGAGACCGGAAAAUCAGUUAGCGAUAUAACAUUACAGGGUAACGACGUGUUUAGUGACAGAGACUUCUACUGUGGCCUUUUAUCAGAAUAAAUCCAUGUGAACUUGUU